rnacentral:rRNA from 1 species
GACGAACGCUGGCGGCGUGCUUAACACAUGCAAGUCGAACGGAAAGGCCCUGCUUUUGUGGGGUGCCCGAGUGGCGAACGGGUGAGGAACACGUGAGUAACCUGCCCUUGACUUUGGGAUAACUUCAGGAAACUGGGGCUAAUACCGGAUAGGAGCUGCUGCUGCAUGGUGGGGGGUGGAAAGUUUCGGCGGGUGGGGAUGGACUCGCGGCUUAUCAGCUUGUUGGUGGGGUAGUGGCUUACCAAGGCUUUGACUGGUAGCCGGCCUGAGAGGGUGACCGGCCACAUUGGGACUGAGAUACGCCCCAGACUGCUACGGGAGACAGCAGUGGGGAAUAUUGCACAAUGGGCGGAAGCCUGAUGCAGCAACGCCGCGUGCGUGAUGACGGCCUUCGGGUUGUAAACCGCUUUCGCCUGUGACGAAGCGUUAGUGACGGUAAUGGGUAAAGAAGCACCGGCUAACUACGUG